rnacentral:rRNA from 1 species
GUGGGGAAUAUUGGACAAUGGGCGAAAGCCUGAUCCAGCCAUGCCGCGUGUGUGAAGAAGGUCUUCGGAUUGUAAAGCACUUUAAGUUGGGAGGAAGGGCAGUAAGUUAAUACCUUGCUGUUUUGACGUUACCGACAGAAUAAGCACCGGCUAACUCUGUGCCAG